rnacentral:rRNA from 1 species
CGGCGAGUGAAGCGGCAACAGCUCAAAUUUGAAAUCUGGCCCUAGGCCCGAGUUGUAAUUUGCAGAGGAUGCUUUUGGUGCGGUGCCUUCCAAGUUCCCUAGAACGGGACGCCAGAGAGGGUGAGAGCCCCGUACAGUUGGACACCAAGCCUUUGUAAAGCUCCUUCGACGAGUCGAGUAGUUUGGGAAUGCUGCUCAAAAUGGGAGGUAUAUUUCUUCUAAAGCUAAAUACCGGCCAGAGACCGAUAGCGCACAAGUAGAGUGAUCGAAAGAUGAAAAGCACUUUGAAAAGAGGGUUAAACAGCACGUGAAAUUGUUAAAAGGGAAGCGCUUGUGACCAGACUUGCGUCCGGUGAAUCACCCAGCUCUCGCGGCUGGGGCACUUCGCCGGCUCAGGCCAGCAUCAGCUCGCUGUCGGGGACAAAAGCUUCAGGAACGUAGCUCUCUUCGGGGAGUGUUAUAGCCUGUUGCACAAUACCCUUCGGCGGGCUGAGGUACGCGCUCCGCAAGGAUGCUGGCAUAAUGGUCAUCAGCGACCCGUCUUGAAACACGGACCAAGGAGUCAACCUUAUGUG